GCGCGAAAACUUUACAAUGCUGGCAACAGCGAUAAGGGAACCUCGAGUGCCAGGUUACAAAUCUGGCUGUCGAGGUGCCUAAAAAAGCAUUUCAUAGCAAGGGCCGGGCAAGACCGGUGCUAGCCGCCGCGGUAACACCGGCGGCUCGAGUGGUAACCGUUAUUAUUGGGUCUAAAGGGUCUGUAGCCGGCCGGAUAAGUCUCUUGAGAAAUCUGGCAGCUUAACUGUCAGGCUUUCAGGAGAUACUGUCUGGCUCGAGGCCGGGAGAGGUGAGAGGUACUUCAGGGGUAGGGGUGAAAUCUUGUAAUCCUUGAAGGACCACCAGUGGCGAAGGCGUCUCACCAGAACGGACCUGACGGCAAGGGACGAAAGCUAGGGGCACGAACCG
rnacentral:rRNA from 1 species